UAUGGUCUGUAUUGCAAAGAAGCUAGACAUCUUUGUUUCCUGCUAUGUUGUGCAGAGCAGUCAUUUUGAGUGUGUAUUUAUUUUAUUUUGACCCCCAGACAGCUUUUCUCGUCCCUUGUAUUCAUAGAAAGUCAGCUCCAGGUUACCCAUAACCAUUCUUCCAUCCCUCAGUGCCAGUUCAGCAGAGUACCCAUAGGUGGGCACACAGAAGGGCAUCUUAAGGCAACCCAUCCACCUGGGGGGAUGGCAACCAAAGGUCAUUGCUUGCAGCAGGGAUCCCACCAUUGUCCCAGCAGAAAAAGUGAGAAGCAAAGAGAGUCCCUCUUUCUGAAGUGGCCACGUUUGGCUCACCGCUGACUUUGGGGCAUUGCUAAAAUGUAGGGGUUGGAAAUUUCACUCAUUUGAAACCUGAAGGGCACAUGGAAGCACACACUUUGUAAAAUGAACUGGUGUUUUAAACAGGGAAGUAAACCCAAAGCCCAUUGCCCUCCUUCACUUGUAUUCUUCUAGGCACUGGGAAGCUUGCAGUUGUUUAUUAUUCUGCUAGAUAUAUUCUUGAAUAGCUUUUCAUAUUAAGAAAUAUUUUCCAGUAAGAUUUUUGCCUUUCUACUCAGUCUUUCAACUCUUCAUUAGUUUUGAUGUCUGCGAUGACCAAAUGAUUCCAGAGGAGGCAGGAAAGCUGGGAGGCUCGUACUUGUUGAGAUGUUGAAGGAGGUAAUGAUUUUUUGGAGAAAACAGUGUUCAAAGCAUUUUUUUUAACAAUCUAUCUUUUCAUCUGGGAUACUUUAACCAAAAGUGAUGGUCUGUUUAGUCUGGGCUGUGAUUUUCAGCUGGGACCUGGAACAGUCACCGUGUUCAAGAUGGCUUUGCUGAGGGAUUUCCCCCAGAUACAUAGGAUGUUCACUCUUGGUCACAAAAUGGCCCAUUCCCUUGGUCCGGAUCUUCUGGUCUAUAUUGGUGCUGAAUUACCACACUCCAUCAACUUUGUGCUGGGCAGUGAAAACGGUUCCUACCACCUCCUCUCCUCUUCUGGGCAGGGAAAGAAAAGAGCAGUGACCUGUUUUACUUCCUUGUUCAAGCAACACUCCAGCUCCAGGGAACGCAGGGCCCUGCCCAACAUUGGUAUCCGGAAUCUGAAGACCCCCACCUCCCUCACCAGGCAGCAUUUCAUAGCCCACAGCAGUCUUGCAGCCCCUUGUUCCCCUCUUGGCCCAAACCAUCCCCUUUCAACAUUUAUCAGAGAGAUGCCAACACUGGCAGUGUCCCGGAGGAUGCGCGCCAGCUGAGCAGUUGUGAGGGAUGCCAUUGGUCCAGCCCAGCAGGUGAUGGCUGCACUGCUGGGGGAUGGCCACCCCUGCCCAGCAGCUCCCCACUGGUGUUGCAGCAGGAAGAUUUGGUAGGAAAUUAGCAGGUAAUGCAGUAGGUAGCAUUUGGUAGGAAAUGCUGAUAUCAGCACUGCGAUGCUCUCAGCCAGCGGCGCUGCUCCACAAGCAGAGCUGUCUGUGCCACCGCUUGCUGCCCCCGCUCAAUGCUCUGAAGGACAUUAGUGUUUAGUGCUGGAUGAGUGCUUGCCUGUGCUUGCACUUGCAGGACUGGGGCCUGAAAGUCAUGGCAGGAAAGCCUCUAUCAAUGAAGGAUGUUAUCAUCCUGUUUCCUUUGAAAUCCAUGGCAGAAUUCCCAACGGGGAAAUUCCCAGUAGGAGUUCCCAGUAGAGCCCAAGUCUACACCACGAUGAAGCUGUUUGAGGUGUGAUGUUCUUGGAGAACUGCGAGCAGUCAGAGAAGCAUGGAACCAGCCACAGUGGUCUCAUUGCAGAAGCAGCACUAAAGAUCCCAUUCUGUCCCAGUUCUAACUGGGGGACGCCACCAGUGCUGCCAGAACCAUGGUGGUGGAGCCCCGGGGUCUUGGUGCAUCCCCUGCUGGCAGCGUGAUGCAAAGGCAUGUUCUGCUGCAUCUCCCACCCACAGGCAGUGAGCUGCCUGCCCCACUCCUAUUCUGAUAUGGCGUGUCUAACGAAAGCUGAGGAGGGUGGGGGAUUUAUUUUGUCGUAAUGCAUAUACUCACAUUGUAAAAGCAAUCCAAAGAGUCCUUAGUGGUUCUCCACAUGAUGCUGUCAGUUCUCACCACAGGGUAGAAUUUGUUGGUAGAAAUUAAAUGAAAUUAAAUUAAAACAGAAAAGCUUGGCUGCUGCUGAUAGGUACUACUGGGAGCCCUGAAAGCAUUGUGCAGUGUAGAAGCAUAGCAGGAGUGAACAGCCCUCAAUUCCUGCUUAUGUUUUGCAGCAUCAUUGCAGCCCAUUCUCCUGCACUGUUGCUAAUUCCCUGUCUCUCUAUGUCUAUAAUCUGAAAAUAUUGGGAAAUAGGUAUGGGCACCACAUUCAUCUUUUUCCCCCUUUCUUUCCUCCUCAAAUCAAUCCUUUUAGUUCGGAUAUAUAUGGUAGGUAAGGAGCGUUUCCAAACAGCAGAUUUCUCAACUUUUUCAUUGAGGAAUUUUUUAAGAGCUUUGGGGUAAUGAGAAGUUAUCACCAUCUUUGGGAAUAAACUGUGCUAUAAAACAUAUAUAGGAGUCUGAUUCUGACUGAAUGGAGUAAGCAAGGCAGCAUACAAUUCAUUUGGAAGAGUCUGCUUAGGACUGAGCAAGCAGAAUAAUCCACGCUUUGCAGUAAAAACUUAAAGUCUGGUUCAAGUCUCAGUUUUUUGUUGGUUGUUUUGGUGUUCUUUUUGGGAUUACUUUCUGUACAGCACUUUGCUUAGAAUCACAGAAUCAUGGAAUAUUCCAAUCUGGAAGAGACCUGUAAGGAUCCUUGAGUCCUACUCCCAGAAACAGCAUCUGUUCUAUGUACAGGCAUUUGUUAUGAGGAAUGCCCCCUCCCUGGAAGCACUCAAGGCCAGGCUGGAUGGCGCCGUGAGCAGCCUGGUCUAGAGGGAGGAGUCCUUCCCUACAGCAGGAGGUUGGAACUGGAUGGGCGUAAAGAUCCCUUCCAACCAAGCCAUUCUAUGAUUCAAUGAUUCUAUUAUGUAAUGGCAUUACUUAAUUCACCAGCUCUGUAAGAGUGCAUUGGGAUGGAAGGCAGCACAAGGUGAACUGCUCCUGAAAUGGUGCUGUUGUUGGCUGAGCACUUGGGUUUGUUCCCUGUGUAGUGAACACAAGCAGUGCCAUGGGCCGUGCAGAGGCAGGAGCUGCUGACCUGCAUCCCGUGCUGCCAGGAAUGGGGCUUUGUCAGCACUGGGAAAUAGGGGUGAAAAAAACCUGGCCCCAACCCUCCUUCCUUGUGCAAUGCUGACUGCUUCUGUACAUGGCUGUGUUUUCAGAGCUUGUGAAGCCGUUCCCAAUAGCUGCUUGCUUUGCUUUCUGGGGAACAGGUCCUCAUCUGUACAAAUCCUUCAGCAAUCAUCCUAUCCCUUUUUCCCUGUAAAUUUUAUUUUUUUAACAGUCCUGCUCUAUACUGCCUGGCAAGUUCUGAUCCACCGAUUGACAGAUUUAUCUUCCUUGUCUGACUGUUUCCAAUUCCAAAGCCUGAAGAUCAAAACCAAGAUAUGUAGUGAGAUCUGAGGGUGAGCAGAAACGCUGUUUUGUUUUUCCUCAGAACCCACUCAGUUCCAAAUCCUGACUCCAAUCCUGUUAGUGAGGGGGGUCUGAGGCUGAAGGAGAGGAAGAGGAGCCCACUGCACAUGAUGCUGUCCCUCCGGUGAUGGAGGAGGAGGAACCAGUCUGGGAGUCCUAAGAGGUGUAUGGAUAAGUUUUCACUCCUGUGUGUGAAAUCAGUCUAUGCAGGGACAUGAGUGGUCCCAAACUGCCCCAGAGCUGCUUAAAAACAUCAGUGAUAUUAAAAAGCUGAAGUCGGGAUGGAGUAACACCCUCAGGACACGGCACAGACAAAAAGUAACUCAAAGACACUCCAAUUCUUAGCUAUCAGCCCAGACCCAUCUUAAGGGCUGGAUUUCUUCCACCAAAAUGCCAUUAGUCUCAGAAACACCUCAUUGUUGUUGGGUCUGCCAGUCUGCUGGGGGAAAGCAAAAUCAGGGGCUCCUAAAGACUGAUUCUUAAGUCGGAUCUGGUGAGCUUCAAAGUCAUCUGUUUGUAAACAACUCUUUGAUAGUGGUUGGCUGUGGAAAGUGACUGUGCAUGUGAGGGUCUCCAUCAGGUCAGGCAGGUAAUCCAUCCCUUCUCAUACCCCUCCUUUUCCACAGAGGCGCUCCUAAGGGAGAAUUUUAGAUCAGACUGUACCCUUUGCAGUAGAACUCUGCAUUUCCUUUCCGUAUGUACGGCUCCUAGCGUGGCAGGGGUCUGAUUAGAGGCUUUGUGUGCUGCUCUAACACUCAGAACAUAUCAUAGGAAUAAUGUAAUUAAAAUGUCAUUGAGAUUGCCUUUAGCAUAAUGAUUGCGUGGCUGCACUGUCACCUGUGAAUAAAGUCAAUGUCCUUUUUGUAUCAUAGGGAGUAUAUUUUAUUAUUGAAGAAACCGUUUAAUUUUUAAGAUUAAAUUGAAAAGUAUCUGCUUAUUAUUUCAUUGUAAGCCUAAACAAGCAAAUAUUUCUUUUGUAGCCUUCAAAUGAGUACGUGUUAAUUGCAGAAAUCCACCUUCCUGAAUUGGAGCUGUUUAUAGUCCGAUAUUUCGGGAGUGAUUAACACUUGGAGUGGCUGCAGAGAGAAAGCAUGCCCACAGCUGUACUCACCUGUGGAACUUGGGUGGAGUAGAAAGGAAGGACAGUGAGCUGGAGGUAUGUCAGCAGAAGUAGGAGCAGGCAUCAGACCCUGUUGGCCACAUCUCUCUUGCAGUGAUAUGAAAAUGAGAACGUAUUUCCAAGCCCACGCUCGUGAGUGUUGGUGUGAUGUUCCUCCUCGGCUCAUUGCGUUUGCACAAAGAGUUCAUCUCUGAGGAUGACCAGCACCGAAGGCUGAUGAGGCUCCUGGGGUCUGUCGUACUGAGCAGGCACAAAAGCUUGUCCACUCUUUACUUUUCCUGUCUUAUUCAUUUCAUUCCUUAUGCAUCUCCUCUGCACAAACUGAAGCUUCCUCUAUUUCCCCAGCAGCCUCACCAUUCUACUGGUCUUUUUUUGGUCAUUCAGUCGCUGCGUUGCUCCUUACCCAACUAAUCCCUCCUUAGCGGCUCCAAGGAGCUGCUGGCACCUCUUCCCUCAGGGCAGGGCUGGAGGGAGCUUUGUCAGCAAGCAGUUCAUUUGUUUUCUCUUUAUUUCACCUCCAUACCUGCUGUACUACCCUGCACAUCCCAUCAGACGUGCUGCUAUCAGCCCAGACUGCGCCAGCCAAGAGUUUAGGCCUUUCAGGUGCCAUCCAUUCUUCAUCUCCUGCACGCCUUCCCUCUCGUGAGCCCCGCAGAUGCCUUUAAUUGCCAGCCACCGCUCUUGGCUCUCCGAGGAGCAGCAAAGGAAUCAUGGAGUCCCUCUGGCGAAGGAUGAAACAAAGGGGCCCAGCGGCGUUACGACUUUUUCUUGCACUGAAUUGGCUUUGGGAAGAAUGGGCUCUUUCCUCCCGUUAGAUAAGCACAGAAAUCUUAAGCAGAUGCUUGCAAAACAUCAAACAAAUAUAUACUUCUAAAAAAAUAAAUAUAGGCUCUACCCACAUGCCCCAUAAUCUGGCCAAUAUUCAGACACCGCUAACAGCAUCUAGGCUUUCCCCAGGGAAGCAUGGAGGAAAAGGAAAACCCUGCAGCUUGGUGAUGUUUCCAGGCUGGUUUUCUCUGCGUCCUGGGACGUUCCCACUCUGCUCUUCUGCAGCUGGAGGGAGACACAGCCCUGCAAUGUAUCCACACUGUAGGGGCUUUCAUCUGUUUAAGCAUUGCUUUAGAUAAGCAGUGCGGAAAGCGAAAGGGAAUUUCGUGCCAUAGGGAAGAAGGUGCAGUAGUGUGGAAAGCCCUAUAUUGAAAAAAAAGAAAAAAAGAAAAAAAAAAUAAAAGCAGAGAGAAUGAGGGGGUAGUUCUAAUAGUUCUAGUUCCCCCAACAUAGGAAAACUGCAGUGCCAUUUCUUUGCUUGGCAAUGUGUGGUGCUGAACCUUCUUUAUCCCUUAACACUCAGACCAGAAGAUCUUCCAAACAGUCCUGGCGUCAUGUUUUCCACAGCAGCAUUGUUGGCAAGUGCUUCACUUACACUGGGCAAGGGUUUUAAAUGAAGAAGAUGGGUGGACAGGUUUAGAUUAGACAUUAGGGAGAAAUCCUAAUGGGAAGCGCUGGCACUGCUGCCCAGAGCUGUGGGUGCUCCUUCUUAAACUGGAUGGCUGCUUGUAAGGAACAAUCUCUGGAUGAGUGGGCAUAGAUGAGCUUGGAAGGGUGUGUAUGAAUAUACACUAAGUAGCAGAGGCAAGUAUUUGGCAGUUCCCACUGCCUUCAGGUGCAGCAGGGGGUGCUCAGUGCCUCUGCACUGUGCAUGGUGCCACCUCAUGUCGUGGGGCCACCAGGAUGCUCAUCUAUAUGAAGUAGCAAAUUCAGGUCAAAUGAACAAUAUUUCCCCUUUCCUAUCAUUGGAGUGUUUGACUUUGCAACUAUGGUGAAUGUCGUGUGUAGUUUGUUUGCUUUUUUUUUUUUCCAAUAUAUAAUAUUUUGUAUGCACGUGUACCCAAACGUGCAUCUAUCCACACACGUAGCUCAGAGCAGCAUUUUAACUCAGGAUAUCUGCAGUGCUCACAGACAACUGGUGCAUUUGGUGUGUGGGGGGACCAGCUGCUUCUUGCCACUCAUCCUGGGGGGGAGGUACCUCGUAUCACAGCGGGACUCAUGCUGCUGUAUUCACUCAGGCAGGAACAUCAGUCAUCCCUUGCCACAGGGUACAGCUCCCCAGAACGGCCCAUGGGAUGCCCCUCUCUGCAUGCAGCCCAGGGAGCACUCCUAUUUACGGUGUAUGGGCUUCAGUUCUUUAUUCAUCAAGCAGCAGCUUUAGCUUUUCACUGUCAGCACUGAACUAAUCAGAAAGGGGAGCACGGGAAGGGUGGGGACCGGAAAAGAGGAGUUUGUGGGAACGUAACGACGUUAAAGAAAAAAUUCUGCUUGCUGUCAGUUAAGUCUCCCCAUUAGUUACCUCUACCAUUAUGGAUUCAUUUUAAGAUCCAGACUUCAAUAUACAUAACUUUAAAUCACUAACAUCCUUCAUGGCUCUGUGAUUUGCUGGUUCCAUAUGUAGCCUCUUGGCCCAUUGCAUUGGCAUCGGUUCAAUUCUUGUUCUUCCUUUGGGUUACGGUUUCCUUUCUUUGAUGGGGAGGGGCAGAAGAGAGAGAGAGAGGGAGAAAGGGGAUGGUGAGUUGGAAGGCAAGUGGUGGAGGACAGAGACGGGAUGGGAGGGAAGGAGAGGAGCAGAAGAAGAAGCGAUGCGGACGGGGAUAAAAGGUUUAAGGAAGAAGUAAGGAAACAGUGGAAAAAAAGAAAAAAGUAAGCAGAAAGAAGAAAACAAUGAGAAAUGCCAUCAUGAGCAGCCAUCCCUUUCCCAAUGCCUGCAGUGCGUGCCACGCUGCUCCCGUCCCACUGCACACAGUCCCUGCUUAAACUUCACAAUUGAGCUCCCUGCGAUUUGCUCGGGGCCUGGGCUGACAGCUGUAUUGAAUUUUGGUUUAUUGUGUGAUUUAUCAGGGCCGUCAAUGGGCAUUUGGAUGAUUUAGUGCUGCAAAAAUACCUUGGAAUGCGACGUGCAGCAAUAUCUGCAUUAUUAAUAACAAUAAUAAUAAAGAUAAAUGUCCCUCCCCAGAGCUUCUGAUGGCCGUGCCACUCAAUUUAACAUUUUAACAGUGGCAUGUGGCCUCUCUGUGGCACCUGGUAACGCCUGAUGGAUAUGAGCAGGCAAAGAAAAGGUUAUUUGUCAAACGCUCAGCCCCAACUGUACGGUGUUUGGAAAGCUGCAGGUCAGAGCAGCCUGAGCCGCAUUCCUGUCCCUGACAUCCAGCGGGACUGAACUUUGUCAUGUUAUUAAGCUGUCAGCAGCACUGGGGCGUUAUUUGGAUUUCUGGUGGGAACUCCUUGCACAUGGUUGGGGUGCUCUAGUGGGAUUAUAUCAACACCAUUGUAAAACACACACAAAUGAGCUGUGCUGUAAUUACCACAUGAAGACCUCGCUUGGCUGGGUUAAUCAGCAGAGAAUGGGGAUACAGAUAAACACCAACGAGCCACCAGGAUGUUUAUUCCUGUGGCAACAAUGCCAUUGUUCCCAACAGCCACCAGCCUGGUUCUGGGGCUCCACUGGCAGCCAAAUCCCCCAGCUGUGAGUGCUGUGCACAGAGAAAUGAGGCAGGUCUGUACCUCCUCAGGGGGGACCUGGGCUGGGAAGGUGCAGAGGCAGCAAGGGAAUUAGCUGAUGUGACUUUUGUUGAUGUAAAACCUGAGGAAAACAUUUUCUCCACUUCUGCUCUAACAUCCACUUCGCACGAGGCUCUCGUGGCCGCCUUUGGGACUGGGGCAGCUCUCGAUGCACCCAUCCCCAUGGUGCUCUUGAAAGGGGAAAGAACAAUGAAGGUGUUACCCAUUCCAGCUGGUGCUCAGAAAGGCAGUGGGAAAAGCAGCUGCUUGGGCAGCUUUGGGCUCUUGCUCGGCCUCAUCAAGUCACAUUUUAAUGGGAUGUUGUGGUUUGCUUUAAGGCACAACCCUACUUCAUCUGGAAGGGGAAGGACCAACCAGGGUAAGUAAAGAAAGAACACAGUGCUGGUAAGUUACAAAAGAAACCCAGAGACUGUGGGCUUGGGAGAGAAAGCAAGAGUCAAGGAGACAUGCUGGUUCCAUGGAGAAGUGUAGGAACAUGGAAGACUUCUCUGAAAAGUUCUUCUCUGGGUCUUUGAGUGUCUCUGUUUCCACUGGCUUCUGGGACCAGGUGGGACAUUAGAGAGAGAAUGACCAUGACAAUGUCAGUGCUAUUUCACUCCUUCUGCUGUUUGCCAUCUCUGCCUGUCCUGUGCCACGUUUGCUCUUGACCUGUCUCAUUUAUGGAUGUCUCUUUGGAUGUCAAGGGGAAAUUUGGAUGUCAGAGGGAAGUUCUUUGCUAUGUGAGUGGUGAGGUGCUGGAACAGCUGCCCAGAGAGGCUGUGAUGCCCCGUCCAUCCCUGGAGGUGUUCAAGGCCAGGUUGGAUGGGGCCCUGGGCAGCCUGGGCUGCUGUGAAAUGGGGAGGUUGGUGGCCCUGCCUGUGGUGGGGGGUUGGAGCUUCGUGAUCCCUGAGGUCCCUUCCAACCCAAGGCAUUCUGUGAUUGUAUGAUGAAGAGGAGGAAGAAAUGAUUUCUGCUUCCAUUUCUCAGGUGAACUCACAAGAACCCUCUGUCUCAUUUUUGUAGUCCUCCAAAGCUGGCCAGGUACCACUUGCAUUGGGUCUUCUGAUUCUUUGAUUCCCACUUGACAAACCUCAUAGUCACGUACUUAUCCCUAAAUCCAGGCUUGUAGUCAGUGGGAUUACUUAGUCUGUUGAUCUGUGAAGGAAUUCUGUGUGUGCUUGAGGACAAGUUCAUUUCAUUUACAGAAUGAAGGCAUUUACACUGACUUUAAAAAAAAAAAACAACAACCAGAAAGAUGAGAUCUGGGAGAAGAUUAAUGCCACCAGAUGGGAGUGACAUGGCAAGAGAAGCACCUUGAAAUAGUCCAUCCUCUGAGGACCACCUUGGCAAAUCAUGUCAUCUUUGAAGUGUCCCCAGUAAUACAAUCUAAUUAGCUAGGGAUUGCUGUAAAGAUAUGUAGAUAAAAGAAUUUCUAAUAAGGAGGAGUUCAUAGAAUUGUAGCAUCACAGCAUGGCCUGGGUUCAAAGGCCCACAGCGCUCCUCCAGUCCCAACCCCUGCUGUGUGCAGGUCGCCAACCAGCAGCCCAGGCUGCCCAGAGCCACAUCCAGCCUGGCCUUGAAUGCCUGCAGGGAUGGAGGAUGCUCCUUGGGUAACCUGUUCCCCAAGUUACACAGUGCUGAACUGUUCCCUAUGUAACUUGUGUUUUCCUGAUGGUUUUCUGGAUUGUCUUAAACAGUAGGAAAAUAAACACUUCUGUUAUUAUUGA